UGAAAAUUUUCAACAAAUCGCCACCACAGGAGGAAAUUUCCAAGCAAUAUUCAAGAGGUUUUCGAGCAAAUAUAGAGAAAGAUAUAUAGAAAUUCUGUAGAAAGGCAAAGAAAGCUCGCACAUAUCGAAGGUAAUUCCGUAAGUUAGACCCUGGUUUCUUGAAAUAGUGAAGACUUUCUGUUGAAAAGUAGAUAAGCACGUUCAAAAUUAUCUAUAUUCACCAGGGUUUAUAUUGGUGUUCAUUUCAAUAAAUCCCUAAUUUGAUAUCUGGUUUCAUUAUAUUUUUCCCUUUUUAGUUUUUUGAUUACGUACAGUAAGUUUUGAAGUGAUGGAAUAUGAAGCAGAAGUAAAGUUCGCCGUACAUUGGUAGCCAGAAUUUUUAGUUGUGUGAAUUUUUUUGGUUUAUUGAUUUCAGAUAGUAUGACCAAGAAACAAGGUAAUCCGGGACCAGGUUUUGUGAAGAAAUUUUUUGCCUGUGUUAGCAACUGAAAUAUUUAGAUGUGUGAUUAUUAAAGAGAAUUUACAACUUGUACGAAUACUUUUUGUUGAAUCUAGUGAUAGUGUUGUGCUUUAAUGAUUUUAGAUGGUAUAUCUUGAAAAUGUUCCCGUUUGCAUUGAGGAGGAGGGACUCCUGCACAAUCAUCACGAGUGCAUCAAAAUCCAGAGUAUGGUCGUGGAUGUGGAUUAUUUUCUGAAGUCAGUCGUCGGACUUGAUAAUGAUAUUCCUAUGUGGCCAUCAUCUCCAAGGGCAUCUGGAUCGGAUCGCCGUCUAAUCCAAAGCUUGAGAGUCCUGUGAGGUACUUGGAAAUGGAGGAGAUACCGCAGAUGCUAUUUGAAGAUCAAGUUUCUAGUUGCUGGAAAACCAAUAUUCCUUGCCAUUCUUCACUUUCUUGGGGAUCUCCUAAACCGCCAGAACUACCAUUUACGGACUGAAUGAACGAUAGUUUUUCUGAUUUUGUGUUGAUUGAGUCUCCAAAAGUGCAGAAUCCUUGAAUUGCUCCAGCAAAAUCUACCUGAUUAGUAUCGUCAACGAUUAUCGAUGAUAAUCUGGAACGCGGAUGGAAAUAAUUACUUUCCAUUUGGUCGACCGAUUAUUGUGCAAAAGUAUUCUUGACGUUUAUGCUUAUGUAUGGAUCGAGACGGUAUAAUUUCGUCUUUGCUAGUAAAUCCAAAUUUUAUGUUGUUAAUUUU